rnacentral:misc_RNA from 1 species
GUAAAUUUAAGAAAAAGAAAAUCACAGUGCAGAAUCAACUAAUUAAGACAUUGUUGCACACUGGUGCUAGCAUCCAUUGACGGGGAGGGUAGGGAUCAAUCAUGGGUUUAAUUCUAUUUACAGACCAAAAGAAAACCAUCAAGGCCAUUGUCUACCAAAAGUUGAGGACAAAAGACAAAGGACCCAAGAAAGAGCUCAACUGAAAUCAAAAUUAUGCCACUCCUGAAAGCAUCAAUUAUUCUUCUUCUAUCGUUGAAUCUUUAUUUUUCUAAGAUCAGAUUAAACAAAAUAAAUAAUGUCUAACUCAAAUCCACCACUCUCCUGUCAUGAGUAUAUUGAAGGGCCUUACACACCUUGUUCUUCUCAUAAAUUUCAAAAGCAGCCUGCGUCCUACAAAGGAAAAUUAUCUGCCCCAGACGUUCAGCCUGAUUUCUAAAGUCUCCAGCAUGCAGAUAUUAGCAGCAGCUCUUCCAUUUAUUUCCCUUUGAGUUUACAGUAAGCAUACAAACAGGAUCCGAAGAAACCAAGAGUCUGGCCAAUAACAUUCAACACAUCAAAUGGAAGCCCACCAAAAAGUAUCCAGCCAAGUCCAAUAGUAAAAAGAUCCUAUAACAUCUCAUUAAGAUUAAUAAAUAAUGCAUUGGACAAACGCCACAUUUAGGGCAUGAAACAAGGUAAACAUUUGCAUUGGCAGAUUUUUGUAGGCCAAUCAACAUAAACUGCCAGUGACCAUAGAAGGUUGUAAGCAAAAUCAAAAUGGGUUUGUGGCUACAUCCUUCUGGCCCAUUCAAGGGAAAUAAAUUCAAUACAAAUAUAGUUUUCUGGUUGGCAUUUUGACAAACAUAUUGAUCAAACAGUCAAAUUAUAUGUUAAUUGGAAAUGUUCGUUGCUUAACUCAAACAUGGCAAAUGAUAACUCUGGCAUUGCAAUACUGCUAAAAAAAUCCCAAGUAAUUUGUGCUCUAAAAUUUUUGAAAAUAGUUGCCCUUGUUUAGGGUAAUUCGAUUGGUCAUGUGGCAUGACCUUUUACUAGAAUAGCAGACAGUUGAUUAGCAAUUUAGCAAAACUUAGACAUUCAGGACAACAAUUCUGUAGAAAACAAACAACUAUUACAACUUAAAAAUAUUUCAGGUAAACAACACAGAACGAUAAGAUGUCAGGGCCUCUUGAACUUGAGAUGAUUCCAAGCCUACGAUGAGGAAAACACUGCACAUAAUCUGUUGACUUUAUUGGUUAAAUAAAUUCAACUGCACCUAAAUAAAGGCAAAAAUGUUAUGCCAACCAACCAACAUCAGGCUUGACUUGGGCUUCAUCAGCAUGUUUUUGUUAUAUUACAAGGGUAAAAGCAGGCAUUGCUCACCUUCAUAUUACCACAGAUUGUCUGUGUGAGGGCUGAAUUCAGUGUUGUAUUCAAAAAUACAAAAUAAUUUAUUAAGAAAGCCAUGAUACAGGAUAGAAGCAUCACAACCUGCAGAUCAUAUCAGAAUAGCAAUUUAGAUUAGACCAAUCAAAUUUAUCACAGAUUAUUGUAGCAUUCAUGUUCAUAUUCAUUGCUUUGAAUUUGAUAGAUGGUAGUACUAGGAUGCCAAUAUUUUAGCAACGAUUAUUCUGUACGGGCCACAGGUAGAGAGAAUAUUAAUUAAGAACUGCAUUUUCUAUUUUUGUUCAUUACGUUAAAUUAUUUUAACUUGAACUACAGGAAGUUUAGCAUUUAGGUUAUUCGGAGGAACUAAAACAAGCAUUUGACUAGUUUUGAUUGAUAUUCAAGAAGAAAGACUUCAAGCACAAGCAGAUAAUUUCACAACACAAGAGUGAAAACUUUUAUUUUAAAGUGCUGAUGCACCAAGAUGAAGAAUCUCAAAUCUUUUCUAGAGGGGGUUUAAAUUUUUUAUUUUUUGGCACACUGGGUGAACCAAUUAACAGGGGCUGCUCUUGCCCUUCCCAUAGCCCUCCCCACUGCAUAUAAGCAGGAUUUGAUGGACCUUAAGCUUUCUUCAAGGAGAUCUCAAACCUUUACCACUAUGAUGUCCCCUCUGGGACAAAUUUUCAUUAUAUUGAUUGCCCACAAGUUCCCCAAGAUUGAGAUAACUUAAAUAUUAGCAACCACAAGUUU